UACGAAGGGGACUAGCGUUGUUCGGAAUCACUGGGCGUAAAGCGCACGUAGGCGGAUGUGUCAGUCAGGGGUGAAAUCCCGGGGCUCAACCUCGGAACUGCCUUUGAUACAGCACGUCUCGAGUCCGGAAGAGGUGGGUGGAAUUCCUAGUGUAGAGGUGAAAUGCGCAGAUAUCAGGAAGAACACCCGUGGCGAAGGCGGCUCUCUGGUACGUGACUGACGCUGAGACGCGAAAGCGUGGGGAGCAAACAGG
rnacentral:rRNA from 1 species